rnacentral:misc_RNA from 1 species
AUUCUCAAGUUUCUCUCUUCUUCACUUGUUGCCUUGAAGCUAGCAAAGGUUGAAUCUAAAACCAAUUCUGCUUCUUUCUUUUAGUUUUGUUUUGUCACCAUAUCUCAGAUGAUAAUGACACAUGGCAAGAACCAUGUUGUCAUACGGUUACUUAACUCUUCUCCCUUACUUUACUCUUUUCCCCUUGUCGCCAACGUGAACGUUGUUCACAUUGACAAAUUUAUAGAUUUCCUUUUCACACAACUUGAGAUUUUUAAUAUUUACAUCAACUAAAUUGCGAGAACAAUUGGGUUCUUUUGUGUCACAUAGGUGGAGACGUCAGUUCUGAACCUGCCUGUGGAAAAGAUGGAUUAUUAUGUACCUGGCUAGUACCUGGAUCUUCAAUUUGUACAUAUAUCUUCUGAAUACACAACAGAAUUCCAUGAUGGGUUCCGUGGAAGAAAUGUGUCCUGCCAAAGUUAAGGAGACAUCUACAAUAUUAACAAAAUAGUCCAUCCAUUAUUCUGUGAAAGGGUAACAAAUAAGCCUUAAUUUCACAGUAGAUGGAUCGGCCACAUAGAUCCAUUGAGCUCUGUUGGAGCAUCAAUAUCCAAGGCUUCCACAUAGAGAAAAUAGGACAGAAACCCAAUUGAUAAAGCCAACAAAUGCACCAGAAAGAGCAGAAAUGAAACAAACCCAGAAAGGACAAUGAGAAAAUAGAAGAGGAAAGGACUUACAGAAACGUAGGAGCAGGUGGGGAUGAUAGACAUGGAGUGGGACUUGGCGUGACUAAGAGCAGCAACACAAAGGUGAGAAGCCAUACCCAAGCCUCUCUUUGAACGAGGGACAUAUGUAUGCGCUAAAUCCAUGACUUUUCCAUCGCUUCUGAGCACAUACUCGAUGUAGGCCUCCUUGUCUUCUGUUUCAAACCUGCGUUGGUUUUCGUUCCACACAAUCUUUGGCGCCUUUGCUUCUGCUGCUGCUGCUGUUGUUGCCAUCUUUCUUAUUUCCCUUCCUCUCUGCUAUUUUCUAUACUCUUUUAUCUUCUCUACUUAAUAAAGGGUGAAAGGGUGAAGAUGAUGUUUCUGGUCAAUUGUGCGGAGUGGACUUUGAAUCUGAUCAAGGGGGUCAAUAGUGCAAUUAUUCUUUUUAUCCAUCAAGUGGGUUAAUUUGAACCGUUAAACCAGUAAGUCAAUCUUCCUAAUUCCUACAUAAUUUUGCAAUUCUCGGCGAGUCUAUCAGUCUUUUGUCUAAGUUGAAUGAGACCCACUACGUGUGUGCCUAAAGAGUGGCCAAUGUUCAUGGUUUUUUUUUUGGGGUCUAGUCCAAGCAAUUGAGGGUUGAUUAGAACUUUCAGAAUGGAUUGUGGUUCAUUUAAAUCUCACAAACUGUAAUAUUUUAUCUGUGAAAAGCUCAUUUCUGAUUUGCCGGGGCUUCACCGGAAGCUAGAAA